rnacentral:rRNA from 1 species
GCUUGCUGGGGGAUUAGUGGCGAACGGGUGAGUAACACGUGAGUAACCUGCCCUUGACUCUGGGAUAAGCCUGGGAAACUGGGUCUAAUACCGGAUACGACCAUUCCACGCAUGUGGUGGUGGUGGAAAGCUUUUGUGGUUUUGGAUGGACUCGCGGCCUAUCAGCUUGUUGGUGGGGUAAUGGCCUACCAAGGCGACGACGGGUAGCCGGCCUGAGAGGGUGACCGGCCACACUGGGACUGAGACACGGCCCAGACUCCUACGGGAGGCAGCAGUGGGGAAUAUUGCACAAUGGGCGCAAGCCUGAUGCAGCGACGCCGCGUGAGGGAUGACGGCCUUCGGGUUGUAAACCUCUUUCAGUAGGGAAGAAGCGUAAGUGACGGUACCUGCAGAAGAAGCGCCGGCUAACUACGUGCCAGCAGCCGCGGUAAUACGUAGGGCGCAAGCGUUAUCCGGAAUUAUUGGGCGUAAAGAGCUCGUAGGCGGUUUGUCGCGUCUGCUGUGAAAGACCGGGGCUCAACUCCGGUUCUGCAGUGGGUACGGGCAGACUAGAGUGCAGUAGGGGAGACUGGAAUUCCUGGUGUAGCGGUGAAAUGCGCAGAUAUCAGGAGGAACACCGAUGGCGAAGGCAGGUCUCUGGGCUGUAACUGACGCUGAGGAGCGAAAGCAUGGGGAGCGAACAGGAUUAGAUACCCUGGUAGUCCAUGCCGUAAACGUUGGGCACUAGGUGUGGGGGACAU